rnacentral:rRNA from 1 species
GACGAACGCUGGCGGCGUGCUUAACACAUGCAAGUCGAACGGAAAGGCCCUGCUUUUGUGGGGUGCUCGAGUGGCGAACGGGUGAGUAACACGUGAGUAACCUGCCCUUGACUUUGGGAUAACUUCAGGAAACUGGGGCUAAUACCGGAUAGGAGCUCCAGCUGCAUGGUGGGGGUUGGAAAGUUUCGGCGGUUGGGGAUGGACUCGCGGCUUAUCAGCUUGUUGGUGGGGUAGUGGCUUACCAAGGCUUUGACGGGUAGCCGGCCUGAGAGGGUGACCGGCCACAUUGGGACUGAGGUACGGCCCAGACUCCUACGGGAGGCAGCAGUGGGGAAUAUUGCACAAUGGGCGGAGGCCUGAUGCAGCAGCGCCGCGUGCGGGAUGACGGCCUUCGGGUUGUAAACAGCUUUCGCCUGUGACGAAGCGUGAGUGACGGUAAUGGGUAAAGAAGCACCGGCUAACUACGUG